GCGGUACCGGUUCACGUCACGAAAGCCAGCCCCAUGGUGCUCGGCCAGUGGCGACCCGGCGACC
rnacentral:ncRNA from 1 species